AUGGACUUUGAGUAUUUGACAGAAAGUCAUAGAACGAACAGUGUGGACACCACCGAGCCACUCCAGGACCCCGUGUGGCUUGGAAGACCCAGCGGCAUGAAGACCGGCACGGGCACACCCGAGGGAGUGGCUGAGGCCUCCAGGGUGUGCCUGGGCUGUCCUGACCCCUGGCCUGGCUGGGACUCUGUGUGGGGCCACUGCAUCUGCCAGCCAGUAACUGACUUCACCCCGUGUGGGGGAGCCAUGGGGCCUCCCUGUGCCCUCCACUCAUGCCUGAGGCCCACACCUCAUCCCUAUCCCAACCUUUGUGGGGAAGAGGGGGACUGCUUGCCUGCCCAGGAGGUCCUUGAUCUGGGUAUCGAUUCCUUCCUGGAUCAUUGAGAUCUCAUAUUCUGUACUUUUCUCCUAAGCGCUGGGUUUUGGGUCAUCCUUCUCCAAGGUGCUCUCUAAAGAUGGUUCUGAUUGUGUAUAUGCUUUUCAACCAGCCCAAGGCUUCCUGUGGGUGUCACGCUCUUGGAUCAGGGCAGUGAAGUUUAUGCAAGAAGCUGUUCUUAUUGUAUACAGGUUGCAAACAUCUGAGCAAAUCUCAGAGACUGCCAGUGGUGGGUACAUGCAUGGGCUGCCUGGCUGUCACCCCCCGCACUGUGCCAAGCACCAGUCCAACCCAGUUGGGUAGCCCCUCCAUGUUUCUGAAAUCCACACAGGCUGGGCUCCACCAGGCCCGGGAAGGCACAGAGCCCGCAGCCACCUGCCGGCCGGACAGAACCUGCAGAGCUGUACCCACUCCUUUAACUGUGUGGCUCUUUACAUUUUCUUCCUAGCUUUGAGUUUUGAAUAUUGGUGCUGCAAAUAGGAGUAUGUACAAAAAAAAAAUUGUAAAAAACAGGUUAAAGUAGACCAAAUGAGACUCACAUACACACCUUGGCCCAGUGUAUGUCUGAAAGCAAUUGUCACACUCCUCACACAUCAGAUAGUGGUGCUUAUGAACAAUGAGAAAUGGCAUUGUGUAAAUGUACCUCAGAAAUUGGUAAAGCAGACCACAGUUAAAUUAUAAAUUAGCAAACUUCAGUUUUGAUACCUCACAUUAAUUAAGUUCUUCAUGCCAUUAGUUCAGCUUAUUGGGUAAAAACUGUAUUGAUUACCAAAGGUAGAAUGGUAUCACAACAGCAGGGAAUAAAAGGCAUUUGUGCCAUUACAUUUGAUAGCAACUAUUCUCCCCCAAACCACUCCACAACUGACAAAAACUUUAUUGUUACUGAUAAGUCAUAUCAUCAUUUAUACUUUCUAAAGAGAUUAUUAUGAUAUCUUUUUGGAGAAAAGUUAUGGUCCUGUUGGUCCGUGGUAACCAGAAACUCAUAGUAAUAUGGUUUAUUUUUCAUACACGUGGUGGGAAAAUUAUCAGGAAAUUAAGUCACUGCAAUAUAAACAUGAAAAGUAAAACUUUGAUGGUAACAAAGUUUCGUGUAAAUAAAAUUGGCUCCACAAUAAAAGAAAAAUAGGCAAUUAUAUGUACAUGGGCAGCAGAUCUAUUAUCAGUAUGUGAAAACAUAACAUUUGCUAAUUUACAAGUUGUAUAAAAUAUAUUAUUUUAUAUUUAUAUGUCUGAUGGAGUCACUUGUUGCAUCAGUACUGGUUGAGUUUCCUAUAUUGGAGUAUUUCUGUAUUCACUUGUCAGAUUUUACAUACUAAAUCUGUAUACAUCUUUGAAAAAUAUUUGUGAGACUGAAUUUGGACAUGGUCUCUUUUCCUUGAUUGACUAUUUCUGCUCACACUGACUCUUGAGGAACAUUCAUUUUCCUUGUGAAUGCAAAUUACCUUAGAUUUUUCCAGUAAGUUUUGUACUCUUCUUCAACUUCCUGGUUAUGCAUGGCUUUUGUAGACCAAGAAAUAAAAGGAGUCACUAUAUUAUUACAUAAAAAUUAAUGGAUUUCAGUCAGAUUCAUGAUAUAAUGUAACCAGGCCAGAAAUAUUUUUCAAAAUGUUUUCAAAUUCUAUUUAACUAAACUGCACUGAUGAGCAAAGAAACAACGUUCUCUGAUUGUAUUAAUGAGAAAUAGAAAUCAUCCUUACCUACAGCAGUCAUGUUCCUAAAGGUUUCCCCCAUCACAUCUCUGUAGAGCUUCUUUUGGGAUGGAUUCAGCAAAGCCCACUCCUCCAUGGUGAAUUUUACAGCCACAUCUUCGAAGGUCACUCUCUCCUAAAUGAUUAUACAUAAAUUUCUUAAAGGAAGGUUGAUACUCAGAGUCUGGGAUAUCCCAACCCCCCUCAUAAGUUGAAUUGAGAGGCAGGUGUGGUGGUACAUGUCUGUAACCCCAACACUGAGGAGGCUGAGGCAGGAGAAUUGCCAUGAGUUCAAGACUAGUGUGGGCUAAAGUGAGUUCAAGACCAGCCUAAACUACAUAGUAAGAACUUAGCUAAACACCCCUGCCAAAAAAAAAAAAAAAAAAAAAAAAAAACCACAAAAAACCAAAAAACCCAAAAGAAAACAAAAAAGCUGAAAGGAUGCUGAAUCAUUGAAGUAUUAACUCUAUGACUUGGUAUAUGCAUGCACAUUUCUUUCAGACAUCACUCCUGAUGCAAGAUUGCUACUCCCUGCAAAAGUAACAGCAAAAUAGCUCUGCUGGGUCACUGCAAGGGUAUCAGUGCCCUGCUUCUUCAGUACAGCCUGCAGAGAGAGCCUACAGGAUCACCAUCCACCAAACACUGGGGCAGAUGAAUAUCUAAUAAAUCAUUUUGAUAGAGCAUAGGUAAUAUCUCUUUUCAAAUGUUAUUUAUGGCACUGAGUCCUUUCUUUCUUUUUUUUUUUCUUUUUAUUGAGUCUAUUGGUACAAUCUAGGUAUACAGUACAGUUACAUUCAUCGUUGGGAUCCUGUACCUUUACAUAAUAGGUCUUGGUUCUCAUUUUUUCCCCUUGUCCCUGCC
ensembl:lincRNA